GAGUUUGAUCGUGGCUCAGAUUGAACGCUGGCGGCAGGCCUAACACAUGCAAGUCGAGCGGUAGAGAGAAGCUUGCUUCUCUUGAGAGCGGCGGACGGGUGAGUAAUGCCUAGGAAUCUGCCUGGUAGUGGGGGAUAACGCUCGGAAACGGACGCUAAUACCGCAUACGUCCUACGGGAGAAAGCAGGGGACCUUCGGGCCUUGCGCUAUCAGAUGAGCCUAGGUCGGAUUAGCUAGUUGGUGAGGUAAUGGCUCACCAAAGGCGACGAUCCGUAACUGGUCUGAGAGGAUGAUCAGUCACACUGGAACUGAGACACGGUCCAGACUCCUACGGGAGGCAGCAGUGGGGAAUAUUGGACAAUGGGCGAAAGCCUGAUCCAGCCAUGCCGCGUGUGUGAAGAAGGUCUUCGGAUUGUAAAGCACUUUAAGUUGGGAGGAAGGGCAGUAAAUUAAUACUUUGCUGUUUUGACGUUACCGACAGAAUAAGCACCGGCUAACUCUGUGCC
rnacentral:rRNA from 1 species